rfam:Dichomitus squalens LYAD-421 SS1 unplaced genomic scaffold DICSQscaffold_37, whole genome shotgun sequence.
GGCAAGAUGGCCGAGCGGUCCAAGGCGUGUGACUCAAGCGAAAGCUUGCCUGCUUUGGCGGGUUUCUCAUCUGGGUAUCCAGGCGCGGGUUCAAAUCCCGCUCUUGUCA